ensembl:lncRNA
GACCAUCCAGGCUAGCCUUCGCUCCCUACGUGCAUCAAUGAACCUUGGGCGUCCAUGACCCUGUCAACGGAUCACCGCUUGUCCUUUUUUGGAUGACUUUUGGUAGGUGCUAACCACUGCAUACCAGGAACACCAUACUAGACCUGCCAUUUGGGAGAUGCUCUGACCCAGUUGUCGAGCCAUAACAAUUUGGGCCUUGUCAAAGUCACUCAGAUCCUUAUGCUUGCCCAUUUUUCCUGCUUUCAACACCUCAAUUUCGAGAAUUGACCGUUCACGUCCUGCCUAAUAUGUCCCACCCCUUGACAGGUGCCACUGUAAUGAGAUAAUCAAUGUUAUUAAGUUCACCUGUUAGUGGUUUUAAUGUUAUGGCUGAUAGGUGAAUAUAUGCAAUACACAUUUAAUCAUACAAUAUAAUGUUUCUGCUCUAGUUAUUACAGUUCAAUCAAAAUUAUUCAACCCUCACUGCAAAUCAGGUUUAUUGUCAAAAUUUACAGACUUCCAGCUGUUUGCGAUGAACAAAUCAAACAAAAGCAAUUCAAAUAGUUCAACACAAUGAUUGCUUCAAGUGGUUUAUCCCCAAAUUCACCUGAAAAUGCAACUUAUAAUGACUUCUCCAGUUUCAAAAUUACAACCCCCUGAAUAGAAUCCCUCACAACAGCACAAAUAUACAAAACAGGUGUUGUCUCAAGCACACAUGAUGCAAUUAAUCAAGGGCUUCAUUAGUUGCAAAAGUUGUGCUUGAGCUGGAACACAUGAAAUACCUGAACUGGCUAGGGGCACAAAAUAUAUGAAAUACCUGGACGGGGCAGAAAAAGGAAGCUAUCAACAGCUGCAAGCAGAUUUCUGAGAAGGCAGGUUGUGAAAAACCCUCGAGUGACUGCCAAAGACCUUCAGCAAGACUUGGUGCUAACAGGUGCUGAGGUUUCAGUGAGCACAGUAAUGCGCGUACUACAUGCAGAAGAUUUCCGUGCCAAAACUCCAAGACGUUCACCACUACUGACCCAACAGCACAAAAACGUCAGGUCAAAAUCAUAUAAAUAAGCCACAGAAGUUUUGGGAUUCUGUUCUGUGGAGCGAUGAAACAAAACUGGAACUUUUCGGCACGAUGGAUCAGCGGUAUGUCUGGAGGAAGAAGAAUGAAGAAAGAACGCUCUGUCCACAGUCAAGCAUGGUGGAGGCUCGGUGAUGCUCUGGGGCUGCUUUGCAUCCUCUGGCACUGGAAACCUGCCGCGUGUGGAAGGCAAGAUGGAUCCAUUGAAGUAUCGGGAAAUCCUAGGAGAAAACAUCAUGCCCAGGUCACAUCAGCAAAAGGGUGCUCUACUGGAGAAAACAUUAUAAGUUGCAUUUUCAGUUGAAUUUGUGGAAACCACUUGAAGCAUUCGUCAUGUCGAACUAUUUCAAUAAACCUGAUUUGCAAUGAGGGUUGAGUCAUUUUGAUUGCAACUGUAAAUGCACAAUAAUUUAAUUUGUUUUUGUUUGUUCUUCCGAACAAACAAAAAUAGGCGAAAUAUACGUUCAAAAAUGUAUUAGUGAACCUGAUUACAGAUUUUUUUUUUAAAAAACAACAACCUUCCCUCACUUCACCUUGUGCUAAUCCAUGCAGCUUCUACUAAUUCCCCCAAAAGCCUUACAAAUUGCACCUGUUUAAUUCUUAAAGUGACAAUAACAAGAGCAUUAAGCACUAUUGCUGUCGUCGGCAAGUUAAUUUAUCCCUCUAAUAUGGAUUUGCUGAGCAAAGGAAAGCAAGAGACGAUUUGUCUCAUUUUGUAUAACGUAAACACAGUGUGGUCGUGUGUUUUUCUGUUCUGUGCACAUCUAUACCUCCUGGUUUUAGGGUGCCUUGGAUACAUAAACAGGUCUGGGUUUUUCACAAAACCCCAUGCAACCAAACGUAUUAAAUGACCCCCCCCCCCCCCCCCCCUCUUUUCUUUCUAAACAAUCUUCCUAGCAGAUCCUUUAUAUUUCCCUUUCUCCAUCAGAGGGCAGUAUUGAACUGUGAGAUUUGUACCCAUCCAAAAUCUCACCCAAAUGACUCUCCUUGCUCAGAAAUGAUAUUGUGGGGGGGGAGAGAAAAGAAACAUGUUUUCUCAGAUGUUGUCGGAGGCAUGAUAAUGUCUCGCAGUAAAGCUGUUGCACCUACCUGUCAUAACUAAAUAAGCAUCUUCCACAACAGAGGCAGAACAGGGCACGCUCCAUUCGUUUAGGCCAUUGCGAAGAUGUUUUCUUCACGAAACGUUGUUUGCUCGAAGAAGCCGUGGCUCCUCCCUGACACGCCGCACACUUUAAGCCUCGGAUGUGUGACUAGGCCAUGUUGAUGGUUCAUUACUCAACAUAAAUUCAGCAGUGCACGAAAUGAAGUGAAAGGUGAGUAAGCCAUGUUCACUUAUUUUAUGUAGACGAUGCCACUCUGUUGAUAACUACAGGCUCAGAUGUGUGGCUCGUUAUGAUUUAAAGGGAUUUGGAUCCCAGUGGGAAAAAAAAAAGUGUAGGUUUUGACUUGAACAGGUGAGUAACCCGGUUGUCACAAAAUAUCCGCUGAAGCUGAACGCACUAAGGUAGGAAAUGGCAAACGAUGUGAUUUAUUCAUUUUGCAACAAUUCCAUUUUUAUUCAUGAAAAGAAACAUACUUUUUUUCCCCAUCUGUUUAUUGUUAGUUUUUUUCUUCUUUUUCCUGAAGUUAAGAUGAGAUAAAAGUUCUCUUACAUUGCACUGACAUUGAACACAACUUCCUUCCAAACAUACCAAAUAAACGUCUCCUCCCAGAAAACUACACCAUAUCGACGAUUGCAUUUCACACCAUACAAGUCCCAGUGUAGGUUGUUACUGUAGAAACGAUAAUGUAUUAGAACUAAUGUCAGAGCCAAUGUGGUAGAAAAGUAAUCGACAUCAUCUGACCAAACAGAAUUGAGAAUUCAGUGGUGUAUGUAGUGUACGGGGUACAGGUGUGACCUUGCUAUAGAAUGAAUUCACUUGGAGAAAUUAUGAGUUUGGAUGCAAAUGAUUUUGUACACAUUACUGAUUACUAAUUAUAGUAAAGGAAGCGUUUGAAAUGUGUGUGUGAAUUUUUUGUUUUCUUUUUCAAACCACUGCACUCAAUUAUAGAUAAAUGCGACCAAUUCGUAAAUUCUUAAUUCAUAAACAUCUACACAUCUAGCCUGAGCUGAAAUCAGAGACGGUAAAUGAGACGGAUGGUCAUGUUUUCUAACAAUAAAAUCUGAUUGACAUAUUGCGCACAAGCCUAAAACUGACCUUAUGAUUGCAUUUCGCCUGGGUGCUAUGUCAACAUGGACUGAAGCUCAAAAUAUCCGAACACAAUUAACUAACAAUGCUCCAACGAGCCAAAAAAGGCUCGAAGCCGAAGGCCUCUCAAAAUCAAUUUAGUCAAUGUAGCCGUACACAAAGUAAAGCCAUGUCAGCUUUUUGAGCCGCACGCUCGAUAGAUAGAAAAAUAAUUCUGUUAUGUCUAAUAGUGCUCCUCUAAAUGACUAUAGGCAUUUACUUUGAAGCAACGCGUCGACGGGCCGAUGUGCGAGAGCUUACUUCUUUUCUUCUUCUGAUGAAGACUUCCAUCAAACUCAACUCAACACUACUUCUUCCAUGAAACAAAGAAGGGGGUGAGAAAAAAACCCUUGCAUUUUAACUUCACUAUUGUAACGUCUGUUUUAAGCUUUGGCACCUUGGAAUUGUAAGAUUUUACUUGACCUUUC